AAUAGCGAACUUAAGCAAAGCUUAAUCUAGUACGGGGACGUGUCGAGAAACCGCCUUAAAUUUUACACUUUUAUAAUUAUAAAGAAAUACUGUUAUUAAGAACUUCAACAAGCAGGAUAAAAGUGCAACCAAAACAGCUAAUAAUAUCAUAUUAAUGCAAGAAAAUGAGCAGAAAUUAACAAUUGAAAUCUCACCGACGUUUUAGACGUCGCCGUAGCUCUGUUUUACAACGGCAAAAUACAGAUUAUCACGUCUUGUAUACAACGCUUACAUUUCAAGCUGAAACAACUGCUAUUUUAAAUUGGGUCCUAGAACUUUUCUUAAUCAUAAACCCUGUGUUAACCUUGAUCCUUAAACAGUAUUAUUUUUAUACGAUGGAUAAUAAACGACGUGUUUUCUUCUGAAAUCAUUUGGUUCAACAAGUUUGUUUGCCGUCGCCGUCGCGUUCCCGUC